CUGAUGCAUUUGGCGUCGAAACGAGGAAGACGAAGCUACCAAGAAAUCCCGCGCGAAAACAACCUUCUUUGAUCAUCUCCUAUUCACUCUUCGAAUCUUCGUUUCCCCUUCGAUUUCUCAUCAAUUCUCUUCCUCUAUCUAAUCACUUUGGCUAUUUAUUUAUGUGUACAAUAAUUGCCUAUGAUCCGAUACGAGAUGAAACGCCGCUUUUUUCUGGUUUCGUUGUUUUUGUUGUACCACUCCGCGCUUGCUUCUCCCAACUCUCCAUGGGGACUCAAUGUUUUCCAAGCUGCCGGCCGCCGUGUUUUGAUGUCCGAUGCUACCAAAGUGCCUGAUACUGCAUUAGUGGCUGCCUUGGAUGGUACUACUAUUUAUCUAUUGGAUGUUGGUUCCCUGAAACCCCUUUGGUCAUUUUCGUCACUCAGCCCCUGUUAAUGAUAAGGAAAAUGCAUCUGGAGUAGAAACUAAUUACUUUAUUGAUUGUGGAGAUGAUUGGGAAUUAUACAGCCUUGACAAACUGGUAUGUAUCUAUUCAUUAGAAUAACUGGAACUUUGCUGCAAGGUUAAACAUAUAUGAUGCUUCUACUCAAAUUACUAACCAUGCUAUAUAUUGAUCAAUCCAACAACAUUGUAAUCUUGGAUGUACUUAGUACUGUCAGUGAACCGGGCCCAGUUCAACUAUGAAUAGCUCAAAAACAGUUCGUUUCAGUUUGAUAACCAAGCUCGAGCUUGUUCAUUUUAAAUAUACUAUUUAGCUUGCUAAACAUUGAGCUUGAUUCUUAACCAGAUCGUUAAUCAUCUUAGAGUUUAGACUUAUUUCAUUAAGUAUAUUUGAGCUCGAGAUACGACUUGUUUGUUUAUAGCCAUUUGUAUAAUGGAAAUCUUUGAAAUGCCAAAUCAUUAUUAGCUUAGAUUAUGAAGUUUGUGUAUUUACAUUUCACUUUAUAGAGGGUAAAGUCGGGGUCAAUACUUUGUGUCACUUAAAACUGAAUUCUAGGCACAGGAAACUCCAUGGAAAUCAAUGUAAGUCAAGUAUCGAAUUUUGAAUCUUUAUAUUGGUACGGAGAUACUAUGCUGGUCUGACUUAUUAUGAUCUAUAUUGAAUUGUGUUUACUAGAAUUGCUGGCCUUAAUGGUCUUCCUCUUA